AGUCGGUGCUGCUGGAAUUACUGCACAGCUGGCGCUCCCCCCAGCACCCCGAGCAGAGCAGCAGUGCAGAUUAAAAUCUCCAAUUAGCGUUAAAGUGAAGUGAGGAGGUGCUGAGGCUGCCAAGGAGGCCAGACGGGGGCCCUGGGUUGGCAAAACCCCCACUCUUGCCUGGAUUCUGAGUGUCACCCUUAGUCACCCCUACUUUCCCAGCUCCUCUCCCAACAGCUUUCAGUGCCCAUUAGUUUUGUAUCGCUUGGGGCCAGAGGGCUUUGCAGAGGGGUGGAAGGGGGCAAAUGCCUUACCUAAAAUGCUAGGGACACCGUAAGUAUGGAGGAGGAGAGCGGUCAGUGCUCAUCAAGGGAGAUACCCUAUUCACUGCCUGCCAGGCAGCCAGGCCAAGGUGACUUCACGCUACAGCUCUGCUUCUUCUUUUUGCUUGAAGAAAAGAUAAACAGGACGGGUCCUUUCAGGUCCUUUACCUAUGAAGUGCUAGGGGACAUGGUGCCCACAUGAACAUCUCUCUCUGCAUAUUUUAUCCUAUCUGACCCAUCUGCUCCCACCGAAGUUAUGGCUCCUUCCUCCCUCUCUCCAUUCUUCUCUCAGCUUUCCUGUGGGCAGGGGUAGGCACAGCCAGGCUUGGGAGCAUCGCCAUGCCCUGCCACCUGGGUCCCAGCCUGCUCCUCGUUAUAGUCUUCCCAGUUUGGGGAAGAGCAGUGAUAUGCCAAGAAUGGAGGCCUCAGACUCUCCCAAUCCCUGAUUUUUACAUGUCCCCCUAUAAGGCCCCUCUGCCAUCUACACUUUUGCCCUUCAUCCACAAAGCCCAAAAGGAAGGCAUUAUAGCUAGCCAUGCCCUCUGACUGCCCUCUGCCCCUUUAAGGGAAAUGGAAAUGGGUACCCAGCUGACUGAACCUACUCAACACCUCCAGAAAUUAGACACUAGGGCAUGGUGCCACCCUCCCAGGCUGGCACAUGCUACCCUGGCAGAGGAUCAAAUAACCCCCCCAUCAUACCCUGCCCCAUGUCUUCCUCUACUCUCUCCCUCAUGCUUUCUCUCUCUCUCUCUCUCUCUGUCUCUCUCUCUCUCUCUCUCUCAGCUCAAAGCACAGCUGAGCCUUAAAAGGGGGGUUGAGGGGGUGGAGAGACCAAGCUGGGGCAGGGGGGUAUAGAGCUCCAAUAGCACGUUUUCACCUGCCAUUUAAUUGGAUGUAUUUUUAAUUAAUGGGACCUCAGGGACCAACAUGAGACAAUCUGAUAUCUGAAUAGGGACAGGGGAGGGAUUGGGUAAGGGAGGAGGAUUGGGCCACUGGGUGCGGUUACCGGGAACCCAGGCCCAUCAAUCACUGGCCACUUUGCGUUCUGGCAUGGAGAAUAGCGAGGUGGAGGAAGGGAGGCACUGGGGAGAGGUGCCAGGAUUUCCCCCCAACUGCCAGGACCUCCAAACGGAUUGGAACUAUACUGGUUGACUCAGGUCUGGAGCCCAAAAUCACAGCCAGAAUAUAAGAUGUGAAAAACAAGACCCAGAGAGGGGAAAUCAUUUGAAUCCUGUCCUGGUAUUGCUUUGUGUUCCUGGAUUUGGAGAAUUUCUGGGAACACAGGAAAAGGAAAGUGAAUGCCACCAGGAUCUGAACCCAAGAUUCCAGCCUCGGUCACCACCCUGACCCUGAGAAUGCCACUGGGAUGGGGAGAACUUGUCAGUCUUCAUCCUUCCCCACAAGUAUACUGAAGCCAGGACAGCACCUGCCUUAGAGAGCUCUUAGAGGGAUUAUCCGCAGCCUGAAGAAAGAAGGUUACAACUGAGGAAGAACUUCUGAACAGGGAAGAGUGGAAGAAAAGACUGCAGCUCAGCUCCAGAAGCAGACCCAGAAUGGCAUCCUUCUCUGAGACCCAGACCCCAGCCCCUUUUCAUGGAAGACCAGCACAAAGGAGGAAGUAGGUUAGGGAAUGGUAAGGCUCCAUGUGAUGGGACUAAUGUGGAGAGGCCUGGGGCCUUUCCCUGAGGACUGGAUGGCUGGAGUUUGGGAGCCUGAGUUGACAGAGGAGGCUAAGCCCGGGCAGCUACUUUGUUCCAGAAAUCUAAGGUCCCUGGAGGGAGGCUCUGCUUUGGGAGGGGGAAGGGAGCUAACAUUGCAGAGCACCAACUGUGAACCAGGUACAAUGGCAGAGCCUUUCCAUACCUGUACUCACAACUAGCGGGUGAGGAGUCAAGGCAAAUAGGUGUCUCAUAGCUCCCCAUAUCUCGGCAGUCGACCACCUCCUCCUUUGAUUCUCUGAUGUCACUGCCAGUUCUCCUCCUAUUGCUCUGACCUGUCUUUCUCUGUGUCCUUUGCAAACUCAUUCUCAACUCCUUAGACUCAGUCAAGUCCCCCAGUUACACACUUCCAUGGUACUAUAUAUCAUUCCUUCAGAGCACUUAACACAGUUAUUUCCUAUGUAUUUGUCCAGUCAUUUGAAUAAUGAUCCUAGUUUCAUUGGAUGGAAAGUUCCACAAGGUCAGUGACCAUUUCUAUCUGUGUUCACCAAUGUGUUCCCAGUGCCCAGAAACAAUGCCUAGCAUAAAGCAGCUGUUUUGUAAAUACUUGUUCAAUGAAUGAAUAAAUGACAAAAGAACAUC
rnacentral:lncRNA from 1 species